rnacentral:rRNA from 1 species
GACGAACGUUGGCGGCGUGCUUAACACAUGCAAGUCGAACGGAAAGGCCCUGCUUUUGUGGGGUGCUCGAGUGGCGAACGGGUGAGUAACACGUGAGUAACCUGCCCUUGACUUUGGGAUAACUUCAGGAAACUGGGGCCAAUACCGGAUAGGAGCUCCUGCUGCAUGGUGGGGGUUGGAAAGUUUCGGCGGUUGGGGAUGGACUCGCGGCUUAUCAGCUUGUUGGUGGGGUAGUGGCUUACCAAGGCUUUGACGGGUAGCCGGCCUGAGAGGGUGACCGGCCACAUUGGGACUGAGAUACGGCCCAGACUCCUACGGGAGGCAGCAGUGGGGAAUAUUGCACAAUGGGCGGAAGCCUGAUGCAGCAACGCCGCGUGCGGGAUGACGGCCUUCGGGUUGUAAACCGCUUUCGCCUGUGACGAAGCGUGAGUGACGGUAAUGGGUAAAGAAGCACCGGCUAACUACGUGCCAGCAGCCGCGGUGAUACGUAGGGUGCGAGCGUUGUCCGGAUUUAUUGGGCGUAAAGGGCUCGUAGGUGGUUGAUCGCGUCGGAAGUGUAAUCUUGGGGCUUAACCCUGAGCGUGCUUUCGAUACGGGUUGACUUGAGGAAGGUAGGGGAGAAUGGAAUUCCUGGUGGAGCGGUGGAAUGCGCAGAUAUCAGGAGGAACACCAGUGGCGAAGGCGGUUCUCUGGGCCUUUCCUGACGCUGAGGAGCGAAAGCGUGGGGAGCGAACAGGCUUAGAUACCCUGGUAGUCCACGCUGUAAACGGUGGGUACUAGGUGUGGGGUCCAUUCCACGGGUUCCGUGCCGUAGCUAACGCUUUAAGUACCCCGCCUGGGGAGUACGGCCGCAAGGCUAAAACUCAAAGGAAUUGACGGGGCCCCGCACAAGCGGCGGAGCAUGCGGAUUAAUUCGAUGCAACGCGUAGAACCUUACCUGGGUUUGACAUGGAUCGGGAGUGCUCAGAGAUGGGUGUGCCUCUUUUGGGGUCGGUUCACAGGUGGUGCAUGCCUGUCGUCAGCUCGUGUCGUGAGAUGUUGGGUUAAGUCCCGCAACGAGCGCAACCCUUGUUCACUGUUGCCAGCACGUUAUGGUGGGGACUCAGUGGAGACCGCCGGGGUCAACUCGGAGGAAGGUGGGGGUGACGUCAAGUCAUCAUGCCCCUUAUGUCCAGGGCUUCACGCAUGCUACAAUGGCUGGUACAGAGAGUGGCGAGCCUGUGAGGGUGAGCGAAUCUCGGAAAGCCGGUCUCAGUUCGGAUUGGGGUCUGCAACUCGACCUCAUGAAGUCGGAGUCGCUAGUAAUCGCAGAUCAGCAACGCUGCGGUGAAUACGUUCCCGGG